UACAGAGGGUGCAAGCGUUAAUCGGAAUUACUGGGCGUAAAGCGUGCGUAGGCGGUUAAACCAGUCAAAUGUGAAAGCCCCGGGCUUAACCUGGGAACUGCAUUUGAUACUGUUUAACUAGAGUAUGGUAGAGGAAAGUGGAAUUUCCGGUGUAGCGGUGAAAUGCGUAGAUAUCGGAAGGAACACCAGUGGCGAAGGCGACUUUCUGGACCAAUACUGACGCUGAGGUACGAAAGCGUGGGGAGCAAACAGG
rnacentral:rRNA from 1 species